CACCAAAGAUUCAAGUCAAGUCAUUCUUACCGUUGGACUCGUCCAGCGUCACCUCAUUAAGUCUGUCUGUUACAACUUUGGAAGAUCAAUAUUCGUCAACUUCAGCCUUUUCCGUUUUGGAAAGGGCUGGAAAGCCAUGGAUCCGUUUUGGAUCUCGGCUCCUGACAAGUGGGACCCUAUGAGUUGAGCCCUCUUCCGUUCUCAGGGACGGUCAGUGGAGGUGCUCGUAGUAAGGAGCCCAACACCU
rnacentral:snoRNA from 1 species